rnacentral:snoRNA from 1 species
ACAGCAGAGAUUGUGUGUAUCGACGUUGUGCAAUAUGAAAUUAAUGCACUUUGUUCGAAAGAGUUCUCUGCAAUACUGAUUUUUAAUGGGGAAGGUGGGCAGUUGUGUUUCAAUUCUUCCGUUGAAUCCUUCAACAAUCAUCUUCCCCACAUUC